rnacentral:tRNA from 1 species
CGCGCACGGUCCGGUGGCCACCCGGGGCUCAUAUUCCUGGGACGCCUGGUUCGACACCAGGGUGCGCGACCA